rnacentral:rRNA from 1 species
AACGUAGGGGGCUAGCGUUGCCCGGAUUCACUGGGCGUAAAGCGGGUGUAGGCGGUUCUUUAAGUCGGAUGUGAAAUCCAGCGGCCCAACCGCUGAAUUGCAUCCGAUACUGGGGAACUUGAGGACGGUAGAGGUCGGUGGAAUAUCCGGUGUACCGGUGAAAUGGACAGAUAUCGGAUAGAACACCAGUGGCGAAGGCGGCCGACUGGGCCGAUCCUGACGCUGAGACCCGAAAGCUAGGGUAGCGAACCGGAUUAGAUACCCGGGUAGUCCUAGCCGUAAACGGUGCGAACUAGGUGUGGGGGUCUUCACGAUCUCCGUGCCGAAGCUAACGCAUUAAGUUCGCCGCCUGGGGAGUACGGCCGCAAGGCUAAA